UUUAAUUUUUAAAUUUUAAUUUUAAUUUUAAAUUAUUAUUUUUAAUUUUUAAAAUUUAAAAUUUGAUAUUUUAUAUUUUUUAAAUUUAAAUAUAAGGGCCACUAUUAUUAUUUUCUAUUUAUAACUGCCUACUAUUCUUCUUAUUUCAUCUUAUCUAUCCAAAGACUAUUUUUUUAAUUUCCGGAAACGACUCAAUUUUCAUCCAAACGUAAAAUUGAUCUAUUCCAUAUUUAACCCUAAACUUAUACCUAUUUAUGAAAUAACUAAUUCUUACUUAAUCCCAAACCAAAUGAAACCUUAAAAAAUAUCGCGACCAAAUAGACCUUUUAGAUUUUAAUGUAAAGAUAAUAAUUGAUAAGACAAGCAGAGAGGUAGUGGCUUUAGAAUAAAUAAAGUAUAAAAUUUAGAGCUUUUUUUUUGCAUUUGGCCCUUAGAAAAAAUUUAUUUUAAAAAUAGCCCCAGCAAAUUUAUAUUUGCAAAAAUGAUCCUAACCCUGCCACGUCCGCCACGUGAGCGGGGUUGGGGCCAGUUUGUUAAGUUGAACACGAUGAACGGUUCACCGUGUCUAGAAAAAAUAUAUAAAUAUUGAAAAGAGGAAAGGAGAGGAAUGUAGGUACGGAAUAUGGUAAAUCAUUCACCAUAUUUGAACACGGUGAAUGAUUUAUCAUGUUCAAUUUAAAACCAUGGCGCUGAUAUGGUGCCUGCGUGGCGAGGAUAUAGCCGUUUUUUAUAAAUAUAAAUUUGCUGAAG
rnacentral:lncRNA from 1 species